UUUUAAUUCAGUGAUGGAAGGCUACUGGGUACAGUCAAAUACUUGCGAAAUCGGUGCAUAAGUCAAGAUGAAAUUGACCUCUCCUGGUGACAGGAGAUAAUGCCAUUGUAUUCAAUUUAGCAAAAUCUUGGCUAGGGUAAUCCUUGUGAUGAGUCAUAGAAUUUAUAAAGUUGAAAUACAUUUUGAAUGCACUGAUUAAAAAGGUGACAGAACUCUGAAGUCAUUCUAGGUAUUUAGAGU
rnacentral:lncRNA from 1 species